AUUGAACGCUGGCGGCAUGCCUUACACAUGCAAGUCGAACGGUAACAGGUUAAGCUGCCGCGUGGCGAACGGGUGAGUAAUACAUCGGAACGUGCCCAGUAGUGGGGGAUAGCCCGGCGAAAGCCGGAUUAAUACCGCAUACGACCUAAGGGUGAAAGGGGGGGAUCGCAAGACCUCUCGCUAUUGGAGCGGCCGAUGUCAGAUUAGCUAGUUGGUGGGGUAAAAGCUCACCAAGGCGACGAUCUGUAGCUGGUCUGAGAGGACGACCAGCCACACUGGGACUGAGACACGGCCCAGACUCCUACGGGAGGCAGCAGUGGGGAAUUUUGGACAAUGGGCGCAAGCCUGAUCCAGCCAUGCCGCGUGCGGGAAGAAGGCCUUCGGGUUGUAAACCGCUUUUGUCAGGGAAGAAAUCCUUUGGGUUAAUACCUCGGGGGGAUGACGGUACCUGAAGAAUAAGCACCGGCUAACUACGUG
rnacentral:rRNA from 1 species